CAGCAGCCGCGGUAAUACGAGGGGGGCAAGCGUUGUUCGGAAUUAUUGGGCGUAAAGGGUGCGUAGGCGGUUUGAUAAGUCAUCUGUGAAAUCUAUGGGCUCAACCCAUAGUCUGCAGGCGAAACUGUCGGGCUUGAGUAUUGGAGAGGUGAGUGGAAUUUCCGGUGUAGCGGUGAAAUGCGUAGAUAUCGGAAGGAACACCUGUGGCGAAAGCGGCUCACUGGACAAUUACUGACGCUGAUGCACGAAAGCUAGGGGAGCAAACAGGAUUAGAUACCCGCGUAGUCCCUGUCUCUUAUAC
rnacentral:rRNA from 1 species